CCUACGGGAGGCAGCAGUGGGGAAUAUUGCGCAAUGGGCGAAAGCCUGACGCAGCGACGCCGCGUGAGGGAUGAAGGUCUUCGGAUCGUAAACCUCUAUCAGCAGGGAAGAUAAUGACGGUACCUGACUAAGAAGCCCCGGCUAACUACGUGCCAGCAGCCGCGGUAAUACGUAGGGGGCAAGCGUUAUCCGGAUUUACUGGGUGUAAAGGGUGCGUAGGUGGCAGGGCAAGUCAGAUGUGAAAGCCCGGGGCUCAACCCCGGUACUGCAUUUGAAACUGUCCAGCUGGAGUGCAGGAGAGGUAAGCGGAAUUCCUAGUGUAGCGGUGAAAUGCGUAGAUAUUAGGAGGAACACCAGUGGCGAAGGCGGCUUACUGGACUGUAACUGACACUGAGGCACGAAAGCGUGGGGAGCAAACAGGAUUAGAUACCCCUGUAGUC
rnacentral:rRNA from 1 species